AACACAACUCUUCAAGCUUGAGCCCACCGUUGUAUUUCAGAUAAGUGGCCGUUGAUUGCCCAGUAAAAGCUUUAGUGUUGCCUAAAGGAAUCUCUGUUCGUGUACUGUGGAUUUUUACCCCAAUAGUUGUUACUGGAUGCUCUAGUUCAAGCAAAAUUCAAACAUGACAAAAUUCAAACAAGUUCUGAGACUCACAAAGGGAGACUGUUACUUUGAAGACUAACCUGAUUGGCUGCACCCCCCCCCCCCCCCCUCACUUUUGCAAGUAAUUCCAACUCCAAUUAUUAGCUACCAUCAGAUUGAGUGUACCAAAUGGUGUUCAUAUUCUUCUGGAGUAAUGUCUCAAAGAUCAAGUUCAUAUGAACGGUGGAUUUUAACUUCGUUGUAAUGCAGGAAAAUCUAGGUUGAGCGGCGAAAACGUCAAGUUUGUAGAAACGAGCAUGCCCGCAAAUUCACAAGGGGACGACCGUUGGCGGAGAGCUGAAAGAACCACAGUAACAAAGGAAGCAAACUGGAGCAGAAACGGAAGCGCGAACCGUAGCCCGUGUCUCCGCAGAGAAAAAAAGGAAAAGGGUUUUAAAAGUUUAUUUUUGCCAAUUUUCUUUUUUGUGUUGCUAGCCCCAGAACAUGUACUCAUUUGAUGCUUUUGCUUUCAGGUUAAUGUGAUGUCGUUGCGGUAAACGGAUGAGUAACGACUCGUUGCGAGCUACAGUGGGCUGCUGCCAGCGCUGAACGUUCUGCGCGGAAAUUGAACGCCAGUGAGCAGACCUCAAGGUCCCUUAGUCCAGGUGAGGAGCUUUGGGCAGUGCACCAUCUGCGGACCGCUGCUGGAGCCAAGUCUACGGAACCAAAGGCAGUGUUGUAUGAAGGCGAUUGAUGGAAUAAAAAAUUAUUAAACAUGA